GACGAACGCUGGCGGCAUGCCUAAUACAUGCAAGUCGAGCGAACAGAUGAAGUGCUCGCACUUCUGACGUUAGCGGCGAACGGGUGAGUAACACGUAAGGAAUCUACCUAUAAGCGGGGGAUAACAUUCGGAAACGGGUGCUAAUACCGCAUAAUAUCUUCUUCCGCAUGGAAGAAGAUUGAAAGACGGCUCUGCUGUCACUUAUAGAUGACCUUGCGGUGCAUUAGUCAGUUGGUGGGGUAAUGGCCUACCAAGACGAUGAUGCAUAGCCGACCGGAGAGGGUGAUCGGCCACAUUGGGACUGAGACACGGCCCAAACUCCUACGGGAGGCAGCAGUAGGGAGUCUUCCGCAAUGGGCGAAAGCCUGACGGAGCAAUGCCGCGUGAGUGAAGAAGGCCUUCGGGUCGUAAAACUCUGUUAUAAGAGAAGAACAAAUUGUAGAGUAACUGCUACAGUCUUGACGGUAUCUUAUCAGAAAGCCACGGCUAACUACGCGCCAGCCGCCGCGGUAA
rnacentral:rRNA from 1 species